GAGUUUGAUCGUGGCUCAGAUUGAACGCUGGCGGCAUGCCUUACACAUGCAAGUCGAACGGCAGCACGGGAGCUUGCUCCUGGUGGCGAGUGGCGAACGGGUGAGUAAUGCAUCGGAACGUAUCCUGGAGUGGGGGAUAACGUAGCGAAAGUUACGCUAAUACCGCAUAUUCUGUGAGCAGGAAAGCGGGGGACCUUCGGGCCUCGCGCUCUUGGAGUGGCCGAUGUCGGAUUAGCUAGUUGGUGAGGUAAAGGCUCACCAAGGCGACGAUCCGUAGCAGGUCUGAGAGGAUGAUCUGCCACACUGGAACUGAGACACGGUCCAGACUCCUACGGGAGGCAGCAGUGGGGAAUUUUGGACAAUGGGGGCAACCCUGAUCCAGCCAUGCCGCGUGAGUGAAGAAGGCCUUCGG
rnacentral:rRNA from 1 species